rnacentral:pre_miRNA from 1 species
GAGGUACUCCCUCCGUUCGGAAUUACUUGUCUCGAAAAUGGAUGUAUCUAAAACUAAAAUACAUCUAGAUACAUCAAUUUCCGCGACAAGUAAUUCCGAACGGAGAGAGUAGUAC